GUGGAGAUGGCUUAGUUGGUAAAGCCCUUGCCUUGUAAGCAAUAGGGCCUGAAAUCAAUCCCCANA
rnacentral:tRNA from 1 species